rfam:Lactobacillus cacaonum DSM 21116 NODE_37, whole genome shotgun sequence.
GUAGAGCAUCUGACUUUUAAUCAGAGGGUCGACAGUUCGAGCCUGUCACGACUCA